AGAGUUUGAUCCUGGCUCAGAUUGAACGCUGGCGGAAUGCUUUACACAUGCAAGUCGAACGGCAGCACGGGAGCUUGCUCCUGGUGGCGAGUGGCGAACGGGUGAGUAAUGCGUCGGAACGUACCGAGUAAUGGGGGAUAACGCAGCGAAAGUUGUGCUAAUACCGCAUACGCCCUGAGGGGGAAAGUGGGGGAUCGUAAGACCUCACGUUAUUCGAGCGGCCGACGUCUGAUUAGCUAGUUGGUGGGGUAAUGGCUCACCAAGGCGACGAUCAGUAGCGGGUCUGAGAGGAUGAUCCGCCACACUGGGACUGAGACACGGCCCAGACUCCUACGGGAGGCAGCAGUGGGGAAUUUUGGACAAUGGGGGCAACCCUGAUCCAGCCAUUCCGCGUGAGUGAAGAAGGCCUUCGGGUUGUAAAGCUCUUUCAGCUGGAACGAAACGGUAGAGGCUAAUACCCUCUGCUAAUGACGGUACCGGCAGAAGAAGCACCGGCUAACUACGUGCCAGCAGCCGCGGUAAUACGUAGGGUGCGAGCGUUAAUCGGAAUUACUGGGCGUAAAGCGUGCGCAGGCGGAUUGUUAAGCAAGACGUGAAAUCCCCGGGCUUAACCCUGGGAAUGGCGUUUUGAACUGGCAGUCUAGAGUGUGUCAGAGGGGGGGUGGAAUUCCACGUGUAGCAGUGAAAUGCGUAGAGAUGUGGAGGAACACCAAUGGCGAAGGCAGCCCCCCUGGGAUAACACUGACGCUCAUGUACGAAAGCGUGGGUAGCAAACAGGAUUAGAUACCCUGGUAGUCCAC
rnacentral:rRNA from 1 species